CCUACUUUCUUCCGCAGUGUGUCCUCUUUUCCAAUGGGCGAAAGCCUGAUCCAGCCAUGCCGCGUGUGUGAAGAAGGCCUUCGGGUUGUAAAGCACUUUCAGUGGGGAAGAAAGCCUUGGGGCUAAUACCCUCGAGGAAGGACAUCACCCACAGAAGAAGCACCGGCUAACUCCGUGCCAGCAGCCGCGGUAAUACGGAGGGUGCGAGCGUUAAUCGGAAUUACUGGGCGUAAAGCGCGCGUAGGCGGUCUGAUAAGCCGGUUGUGAAAGCCCCGGGCUCAACCUGGGAACGGCAUCCGGAACUGUCAGGCUAGAGUGCAGGAGAGGAAGGUAGAAUUCCCGGUGUAGCGGUGAAAUGCGUAGAGAUCGGGAGGAAUACCAGUGGCGAAGGCGGCCUUCUGGACUGACACUGACGCUGAGGUGCGAAAGCGUGGGUAGCAAACAGGAUUAGAUACCCCUGUAGUC
rnacentral:rRNA from 1 species